GACGAACGCUGGCGGCGUGCUUAACACAUGCAAGUCGAACGGAAAGGCCCUGCUUGCAGGGUGCUCGAGUGGCGAACGGGUGAGUAACACGUGGGUGAUCUGCCCCUUACUUUGGGAUAAGCCUGGGAAACUGGGUCUAAUACUGGAUAGGACCAUGCUGUAGGUGGUGUGGUGGAAAGAUUAGUUUCGGUAAGGGAUGAGCUCGCGGCCUAUCAGCUUGUUGGUGGGGUAAUGGCCUACCAAGGCGUCGACGGGUAGCCGGCCUGAGAGGGUGGACGGCCACAUUGGGACUGAGAUACGGCCCAGACUCCUACGGGAGGCAGCAGUGGGGAAUAUUGCACAAUGGGCGCAAGCCUGAUGCAGCGACGCCGCGUGGGGGAUGACGGCCUUCGGGUUGUAAACUCCUUUCAGCCAUGACGAAGCCCUUGUGGUGACGGUAGUGGUAGAAGAAACACCGGCUAACUACGU
rnacentral:rRNA from 1 species